rnacentral:rRNA from 1 species
AUUGCCUUAGUAACGGCGAGUGAAGCGGCAAUAGCUCAAAUUUGAAAUCUGGCUCUUUCAGAGCCCGAGUUGUAAUUUGUAGAAGAUGCUUUGAGUGUGGUUCCGGUCUAAGUUCCUUGGAACAGGACGUCAUAGAGGGUGAGAAUCCCGUACGUGACUGGGUGCCUUCGCUCGUGUAAAGCUCUUUCGACGAGUCGAGUUGUUUGGGAAUGCAGCUCAAAAUGGGUGGUAAAUUUCAUCUAAAGCUAAAUAUUGGCCAGAGACCGAUAGCGCACAAGUAGAGUGAUCGAAAGAUGAAAAGCACUUUGGAAAGAGAGUUAAACAGUACGUGAAAUUGUUGAAAGGGAAGCGCUUGCAACCAGACUUGCGGGCGGUUGAUCAUCCGAGCUUUUGCCCGGUGCACUCGAUCGUUCUCAGGCCAGCAUCGGUUUUGGUGGGCGGAUAAAGGCCUUGGGAAUGUAGCUUCUUUCGGGGAGUGUUAUAGCCCUCGGUGCAAUGCGCCCUACCGGGACCGAGGACCGCGCUUCGGCUAGGAUGCUGGCGUAAUGGUUGUAAGCGACCCGUCUUGAAGCCUACGGACC